CCUCAACGGUCAAUUGGGACUAAGUCGUAACGAGGUAACCGUAGGUGAACCUGCAGAAGGAUCA
rnacentral:rRNA from 1 species